rnacentral:lncRNA from 1 species
AGGAGGACCAUCUGAAAAGGCUGGGAUUCAUGUUGGAGAUAGAUUAGUAGAGGUCAACGGCCUCAGCAUGCAGGGAGCGACGCACCUUGAGGCUGUGAGCGCCUUGAGAAAUACUGGCAGCUGCAUCAAAAUGAAAGUAGUCAGAGAGAGGCUGAUGUCUCAGGAGGGGUGUGACCCAGAUGGGCCUGGAGUACCCCUGGACCUGGGGGGACUGCAGCUGUGUGGCCUGGCCAGUGACAGCCUGAGGAUCAAGCAGCCUAUGAUGGAAACCAUGGAACGUGGUUUGUUUAGGAAGAAUGAGGCCACCAUCUGCAAUGGCAACGGCACGUGCUAUUUUGUCAGUGACCUGAAUAAGACUAAAGUAGAGGCAGAGCCAAUGAAGAAGAAUUCGCUUCUGGGGGGCAAGCAAACAAUGGCAAUCCCCCGGAUCAUCCUCACUCAUCCUUCUACCUCGGAUGAAGACGUGGAGCUCUUGACACAGUUUUCCAGCAGACCACUACUUCAUGACAGUGACAAACCUGACAAAGACAAGUGUUGUGACAGUGCUUUCUAUCCACCUUGACCUCACCCUGGAGCUACAGAGAUAAAAGGCACAGACUGGCAUCAUCCAAUUAUUGCUUAUUAUUUGUCACAGAGAUAUUUUUUUUACUGUAGUUGUGGAGAACCAGUUCAAAGCCACCUGGUCUGGAUUGCUGCUAAAUCUUCUGGUCUUUCAAAACUGAAUUGCUGCUAAUAGCGCCAAAUGACCGCUUGUUGUUUCCUUUUUUAAAGUUUAUUAUGGAUGGAAAAACUAAAGAAUGCUUAAGUACAUGCCCCAAUUAUUGUUAUAGCCAAUUACCCAUCAAAUGAUGCACAGUGCCUCAAUUUGUCCAUUAGCGCACACAUUAGACUAACCACUCGUGACUUUGUGAAGACCUGAAACUUAUUAGUCAAUACAGAAAUAAAAUAAAGUGCAGAAUUGCCA